AGAUAUGAGGAUGAACUGGCCAUUGACAGCUCUCACCCCACUGAUCACCAGAACCGAGUCCAGUCAUCUGCUUCGGUAGUUCACUGUUCCCUUCCUUUCUCACCAUGGCCCUACCUAUGUCCCUCCAGAAGCUCGGCCUCCUCCAGUAGAGAUAAACCUUGGGGAGACGAGUUGCAGUGUUCCCCUGCAGGGACCCUCUCCCGCUCAGCCUGGUUAGGGCUUGAAGGCUCAUGCACAGAUUCAGUCUGACUGCCUGU
rnacentral:sRNA from 1 species